CCAGGCGCCCAAGGAAAUAUUUUUAAAAAGUUUGGGAAUACCUGCUACUGUAAUUCAGUUCUUCAAGCACUUUAUUUUUUGUCGUCCAUUUUGGGAAAACGUUCUAGCAUACAAGAGCCAACCUAGGAAAAAGGAGAACCUUCUUACCUGCCUAGCAGACCUCUUCCAUAGCAUAGCCACUCAGAAGAAGAAGGUUGGGGUGAUUCCUCCUAAGAAGUUCAUAACAAGAUUACGGAAGGAAAAUGGAAGAAAGAAAGCAGGAAAAACAAAAUGGCCAUUUACCUAAUGGUAAUAUGAACAAUGAGAACAACAACAGCACACCAGACCCAACGUGGGUUCAUGAGAUUUUUCAGGGAACACUGACAAAUGAAACCAGAUGUCUUAUUUGUGAAACUAUAAGCAGCAAAGAUGAAGAUUUUUUAGACCUUUCUGUUGACGUGGAACAAAACACAUCGAUCACUCACUGCUUAAGGGGUUUCAGCAACACAGAAACUCUGUGCAGUGAAUACAAAUAUUACUGUGAAGAAUGUCGCAGCAAACAGGAAGCACACAAACGAACAAUCUCAAGCUCAAAGAAAAGUUGUAUGAACAGUACCAAGAAUACUUUUUAAACCAAAACCACUAAAACGUAAGGGUCUGCCAAGAUGUUGGGUCACAUCAAGUCUGGGAUCCAUCAACAGAGAUCUACAGUGUGGAGCAGUGGAGGCUGCACAGAAGAGCUGGGCUCAAGGAGGAUACAGUGUGCUUUCUGAAAGGAGUUCAAGAAACAGAAGCAGUUUGAGGUUGGGGUUAAACCUGGCUCCGUCUUCACUGCAGGGUCUGCCAAGAUGUUGGGUCACAUCAAGUCUGGGAUCCAUCAACAGAGAUCUACAGUGUGGAGCAGUGGAGGCUGCACAGAAGAGCUGGGCUCAAGGAGGAUACAGUGUGCUUUCUGAAAGGAGUUCAAGAAACAGAAGCAAUUUGAGGUUGGGGUUAAACCUGGCUCCGUCUUCACUGCAGAUACAAAAAUUAGCUCCAGUUGGAGCAAGGAUCUCCACAUAAGAGCUACAAUGAUGAAACUCUUAGAAGUAAACAGGACAACAGCUUCAUGAGGUUGGAGUUGGCAAUGACUUCUUGGAUGCAACAGCAGAGGC